rnacentral:rRNA from 1 species
AGCUCCAAUAGCGUAUAUUAAAGUUGUUGCGGUAAAAAAGCUCGUAGUUGGAUUUCUCUUGAGUAUCACCGGUUCAUACCACGUAUGCAUAUCUGGUUGAGGCUCGAGAUCCUCUCGCGAAACGUUUCUGCGCUUGAUUGCGUGGAGCGGGUCUCGGGACUUUUACUUUGAGGAAAUUAGAGUGUUCACGGCAGGCUAUCGCCCGAAUACAUUAGCAUGGAAUAAUACUAUAGGAUUUCGAUUCUAUUUUGUUGGUUUCUAGAAUUGAAAUAAUGAUUAAUAGGGACAAUUGGGGGCAUUCGUAUCAACACGUCAGAGGUGGAAUUCUUGGAUUGUGUUGCGACGAACUACUGCGAAAGCAUUUGCCAAGGAUGUUUUCA